UGUGCAUGUAGCUCAAAUGGAUAGAGCAUCAGACUCCGGCUCUGAAGACUGCAGGUUCAAAUCCUGUCAUGCACGUC
rnacentral:tRNA from 2 species